CGCACCUACCGAUUGAAUGUUUCGGUGAAGAUUCCGGACUCCAACUUGCGCGCUUCACGGCGCUCUAGCCAAGGGAAGUUAUCUAAACCUCAACAUUUAGAGGAAGGUGAAGUCGUAACAAGGUUUCCGUAGGUGAACCUGCGGAAGGAUCAUUA
rnacentral:rRNA from 1 species